AAGGAUCAAUAGCAGAUCGAGGGGGUGGUAGUGUGGUGGGAUUACCCACCAAGCAACCGCCCACAUUGACUCGGGCCGUGGCUUUCCUGGCUGGGGGGACGCGGCCCUGAGCUCACAUUCACGCUUGCUGGGUUUGACCGGGUUAACAUGGUGGCGAGAAGCAGACAACUUUUAACAAUGGAUCUCUUGGCUCUU
rnacentral:misc_RNA from 1 species